rnacentral:rRNA from 1 species
UACGUAGGGUGCAAGCGUUGUCCGGAAUUAUUGGGCGUAAAGAGCUCGUAGGCGGUUUGUCGCGUCUGCUGUGAAAACUCGGGGCUUAACCUCGAGACGUCGGCGGAAACCAUCUGGCUAGAGUCCGGAAGAGGAGAGUGGAAUUCCUGGUGUAGCGGUGAAAUGCGCAGAUAUCAGGAGGAACACCGGUGGCGAAGGCGGAUCUCUGGGCCUUACCUGACGCUGAGGCGCGAAAGCCAGGGGAGCAAACGGG